GACGAACGCUGGCGGCGUGCCUAAUACAUGCAAGUAGAACGCUGAAGGAGGAGCUUGCUCUUCUGGAUGAGUUGCGAACGGGUGAGUAACGCGUAGGUAACCUGCCUGUUAGCGGGGGAUAACUAUUGGAAACGAUAGCUAUUACCGCAUAACAUUUGAUGUUGCAUGACAUUUACUUAAAAGGUGCAAUUGUAUUACUACUAGAUGGACCUUCCUUGUAUUAGCUAGUUGGUGGGGUAACGGCUCACCAAGGCGACGAUACAUAGCCGACCUCAUAGGGGGAUCGGCCAAACUGGGAACGAGACACGGCCCAGAAUCCUACGGGAGGGAACAGGAAGGAAUCUUCGGGAAAGGACGGAAGUCUGACCGAGGAACGCCGGGUGAGUGAAGGAGGUUUUCGGAUCGUAAAGAUCUGUUGUAAAGGAAGGAAGAAUGGGGGAGUGAAAAGUUCACACUGUGACGGUAUCUUACCAGAAAGGGACGGCUAACUACGUG
rnacentral:rRNA from 1 species